UUUGACCGUUUGAUUGAACAGAAUUGGUCCCUAGAGCAGUGGAAGAAUGUAAUUUUCUCGGACGAAUCAUCUUUUACCUUGUUUCCGACCACCGGCCGAGUAUAUGUGUGGAGACAGCCAAAAGAAGCAUUUGACCCAGACUGUCUUCU